GGCUGUGAGAAUGAUCUGUGUGGUGCAGCUGUGGCCCCACUGGCUGCCGGGUGUCGGGAGACCUGUGUGCCAUCUUUCUGCCUCACGCCAUGUGCCUGCCUCCUGAGGCUAUGGGCUGCACCCAAGAGAAUGACCUUCCUCGACAGAGGAAGGUAGCUCUCCUGGAAGAGAAAUGGGAGGAACUUCUUUCUGCUAGAACCCACAACUGCAGGUUUAAAAUGCUGUGUGUGUGUGUGUGUGUAUGCACAUGGAUGUGUGCACGCACGUGUGUGUGUACAUCUU
rnacentral:sRNA from 1 species